GAAAUGCGAUAAGUAAUGUGAAUUGCAGAAUUCAGUGAAUCAUCGAAUCUUUGAACGCACAUUGCGCCCCUUGGUAUUCCGAGGGGCAUGCCUGUUCGAGCGUCAUUACACCACUCAAGCAUCGCUUGGUAUUGGGAACGGUCCGUCGAAAGGCGGGCCUUCCUCGAAGACCUCGGCGGGGUUCAACCAACUUCGGGCGUAGUAGAGUUAAAUCGAACGUCUUAUAAGCUUGGUCGGAUCUCAUUGCCGUUAAACCUUUAUAUUUUCUAGGUUGACCUCGGAUCAGGUAGGGAUACCCGCUGAACUUAA
rnacentral:misc_RNA from 1 species